CAGUUUGAGCCUGCAGCAGACAUCGCUGUUGGAGGAAGUACCGGGAGCCGCCUGCAUCGCUGCCUGGAUGUUGUUGAGAAUGUCUGACCCUGGACAGACAGGAAUUUGAAGAUUUUUACAGUGCAGUGAAAAUACAGUCCUUGAGGCACUACAGACUCUUUCUGGCCAGUAUUCCAGUGUAACGAUGACGCUUCCAAAUGGACCAAGUGCGUUCAGCUCCUCCUGUUGGUGAACUCAAAGGCCAGCGGCCUGCUCUGCUUUGUGAAGCCCAGCUCUGCAGUGAAUCCACAGGAUCACCAACCGAAAUUUACCUUCUUCCCUCUUUGCUGAACUUGAUAAAUGUACACAUCAUCUACUGAAGCUCUACAAAAAGAAGACUGGACAUUUCUUUGAGAAGAUGGAAGAACUCCUGAGGGCAUAUGAAGGACGGGACCAGGACAACGUCUCUGCAGCAAGAAUGGCAGUCCUGGCUGGCCUUCCACUGUAGUUGGAGCAGGAUUCUUCAGACAUCUUCAAGACUUGCAAGGAUGAGUUGGGGGCCUUUCAGGAGGAAGCAGUGGCGUUGGCAGCAAUAGAGGACGGAGAUGAGGUGCCUGCAGGUGCUCCUUUCGAAACAUGCUGCAUAUCCGUCAUCCUUGAGGAUCAGGUUGUGAUAUCUCAGAGAUUUUGGCCAGAUUCUGUGUUGGUUUUAUUUGGAUUGAUCUAUGCUCUACAUCUGAGCUGUUCUGCGAAACCAAGUGCCUUCUUUGAGUUUAUUGUAAGCCCUCCUUCACUCGGCGAGGUCACAGGAAUGGGAGUAUUCAACUCAGGAAUGGGCCAAGGAUCAGAAUUCCAGGUAACCGCUCAUGGAGCCCAGGGUGACACUUCAACAUUGA